rnacentral:misc_RNA from 1 species
UCAAGUGCACCUCUUCAAAGUCAGGU